rnacentral:rRNA from 1 species
GAUGAACGCUGGCGGCGUGCCUAAUACAUGCAAGUCGAGCGAACAGACGAGGAGCUUGCUCCUCUGACGUUAGCGGCGGACGGGUGAGUAACACGUGGAUAACCUACCUAUCAGACUGGGAUAACUUCGGGAAACCGGAGCUAAUACCGGAUAAUAUAUUGAACCGCAUGGUUCAAUAGUGAAAGACGGUUUUGCUGUCACUUAUAGAUGGAUCCGCGCCGCAUUAGCUAGUUGGUAAGGUAACGGCUUACCAAGGCAACGAUGCGUAGCCGACCUGUGAGGGUGAUCGGCCACCCUGGAACUGGGACACCGUCCAGACUCCUACGGGAGGCAGCAGUAGGGAAUCUUCCGCAAUGGGCGAAAGCCUGACGGAGCAACGCCGCGUGAGUGAUGAAGGUCUUCGGAUCGUAAAACUCUGUUAUGAGGGAAGAACAAAUGUGUAAGUAACUAUGCACGUCUUGACGGUACCUAAUCAGAAAGCCACGGCUAACUACGUG